GGACUGUGGCCAUCAAUGGUUCUCAUCUCAGAGAUUGUUCAAACUUUCAUUCUCGCUGAUUUUUAUUACUACUACGUCAAAAGUGUAUUCGGAGGGCAACUUGCUCUCCUGCUUCCAUCUGGAGUAGUAUAAGUUUUUUUUCUUUUCAAUUUUUUUUUUAAAAUAGAAUGCUCUAGUAGUGAUGUAAUCUUUGCCACAACUUCACUCCUCCCACAGUAACCGGCUGAAGGUUCUGAGUAUAAAUAUCCACCUUUCGACGAUUGACACCACAACUCAAACGAGAUCCAGAAUAAUAGUUUGUUCUAAUGGGUUUUCUGAGAUUCUGGGAGGUGAAAAAUGUGAAGAAAGGCCGCAAGCUAAUGGGUUUGGACAUGUUCCUCCUUGACGAGAAGUGAUGGUUCAGUUUACACGUCAAGCGGUUUCUACGUGACAUCAGCUGUUUUGAUAGCACAAGUCCACAAUUGGAGUUUUGUUUGGAUUUUCAAUGGAGUUUACACAAUUAGUUUCUUUCUCUGAAGGUUGUGGUCUCUGUAUCAGAAACAAAUCCUCUAAUCAUAUACCUCAGGAAUGUUGAGAAGCUUCUCGAGUCAGAAAGAUUCUACAAUUUGUACCAGAUUCUAUUGAACAAGAUCUCUGGUCCUGUCUUGAUUCUUGGCUCAAGGAUAUUAGUACCUUAAGAUGAUUUCCAAGAAGUAGGUGAAGAGGUCUCCGCUCUCUUUCCUUACAACAUCGAAAUCAGACCACAUGAGGAUGAAUCCCAGCUUUCGAGCUGGAAGAAUCGCUUAGAAGAUGACAUGAAGAUGGUUCAGUUUCAAGACAACAAGAACCAAAGUAUCCCUCAUGAACCUCAAUAUCAUUGCAUCUUUGCAGGGAUGUAAGCGUGUGCGUUAACAUGUUUGACGCCUUAGCUCUUGCAUGCCAUAACAAAUACGAAAGCUACACGUCUGAGCCAAAAAUUGUGGUGGCCACCAGCAUAAAUCCGACACUAUUGAUCGCAUCAAGAAACGUGUUCAGGAGAAAGAAUGCAUCCCUCAUGUUCAACAAAGGUCGUUGGAGUUGUUUCCGGUUAACUCGUACUGCAAAACAUCUUUUCAUGUCUUGGUGACUUAGAAAAUUGCAUCUCCUUUCUAAUGUGUUUUUUUGUGUUCGUGCAAUUAAUUAGUUGAUUAUACUCUGUUUGCAAGCUUAUAAUCUAUGCAGUUACAUGUUACAUUGAUUCUUAAGAGUUUUUUUUUUUUGCAGGCUCAACUACGCCCUUAAAAAGCUAGCUGAUGACAAGACGACAAAAGACUACAACAUAGAGAGAGGCUCUGUUCUGCAUCUUGUUCUUGCUCUUAGUGGUGGUGUUGAUGUUUUGUGGAUAGUAACUCUCUCUUAUUUCUGUCUAGGGAUUCUUUUCUUUCUAUGAUUAAAAAGUGAUGCGAUUUGGAUUUGAUGCUUUGCUAUUUCAGUGGGUUUAGAAUCAGUGUACCAAUAAUCUGUCCAAUAUAGAUGAUAUGCAACUGCAGUGUUCAAAAAAAAAAGAUAAUAUGUAACUGCAUGUUUUUUUUGUGUUUGGUUAGUUUUGAUGAAUAACACAAAAAAAAAACAACAGAAGAUGGGACAGAAGCUACGAAUUGGGUUGGAACCAGGCCACUGAGAUUACUAUUGAGUAGAAAGAUGAUACAUAUAAAAAUUGACAGAACUAUAGUCUAUACACGGUUAAAUUCAUUUG